CUAUAUAACUAUGGACUGCUAGCAGCUUACUUUUCCACGCAAUAAGUGUCUACAAACAUCUGCAGCGCCGCCAGUACCAAACACGGCAAAUGAUGGAACUCGUUGAGCAUAACGAAUGAUAACGAAGUAGACGUAUCUAGUAGCUAUAUAUUAUACCAUAUGAGAUAAUAAUAACACGGCAAUUACAAACAAGAAAAUAAUAAAUAAAAAUGAAAUACUGUGUUGUCCAUUGGUGCAAUAAUUCUAUUCAUAAAGAGAAAAAGACAGGAAAGCAUGUGGCUUUAUUUGCAUUUCCAAAAAAUCUGGAACAUCGUACAAAAUGGGUGAAAGCAUUGAAAAAUGUGGCCAUAAAAACAAAUAGCACUAUAUGUCAAGAACAUUUUAAUGAAACCUGUAUGUACAAAACUGGAUUGUCAUCAUUACGCUUGUACGAAGGAUCUGUACCAUCUAUAUUUCCACAUGUUUCUAAUUUAAGCAUAACAGAAAGUAUACACUGUAACGAAAACAAUAAUGCAUCUUCUGAAGUAGUGAUGGAAGAUGAAUCAACAAUUGGUUCUCAUCAAGGACAAACACAAGAUGAUAUGACAUAUUCAACAAAAACCAAUACUGUGGCGUCAAGUGAUAAAUGUUUAAUAAGAUAUCCAGGAGAUAUUACAACCGAAAAAGUGGCAAACAUGUCGUCAAGUAGUUUAAGGAAGUUUAAUUAUUAAAUUAUUAAAAAAGAUUACUUGCGAAACAUGUCUUUAUCUUUUUAACGAAUGUACAGUUAUGAAGUCUACAUUCAUAGAAAGAAAAAGCUGUGGAUAUUUACAUUAUCCACGAGAAGAUACAUAUAAACUCAUUGUUGCCGCUGAUAAAGUUUUUAAUUUUUAUAAAUUACAGAAUAAUUUGUAUAAGAAAAAUGCAUGCCAAGAAAUAAUUAUAAAAACAAUACGUAAUAUUGAUAUGGAUAAGAUAUUUAUAAAUUUUAACAACCACGUUAAUGAGUUAGACGUUUUCGAAAAUCACAAAUAUUAUUUAAUUAAAUUAAUUAUAGAAUGUUAUAUACAGAUUCUUAUGAAUUAUGAAGGGAAAUUAAUGAGCCAAAAUAUUGAGUACAUCAGACAUCAGUUUACAAAAAUUAUUUUAUUCAAAGGAAUGAAAAGUGCGAUGAUAGUUCUAAUAAUGGCCGUGUUUGGUACUGGCGGCGCUGCAGAUGUUCAUAGAUGCCCAAAGUCAUUGCUAGCAAUCCAUAGUUAUAUAGU